rnacentral:miRNA from 15 species
CCAGUAUUGAGAGUGCUGCUCUA